rnacentral:tRNA from 1 species
GGGCCUGUAGCUCAGAGGAUU